rnacentral:tRNA from 1 species
GGAGAGGUACCCAAGUGGCUGAAGGGGCGGCUUUGCUAAAGCUGUAGGUCGGCGAAAGUUGGCGCGAGGGUUCGAAUCCCUCUCUCUCCGCCA